CAAGAUCCUCAUUGGGAGGAAAAAUAUUAUAAAAAUAAUAUAACUUAUUUGCUGCUGGAUAAAUAGAUAGCCAAAGAUAAUUAAAAAUAUAUUGUAAUUAAUAUCAUUACAUUUAGAUACAAAUGAAAGAAACAUUCAACCUUUCCACCAAAUAACAUGUCUAGAAUUGAGCAGUGACUGUAAUCAAUACAACUCAAAAGCUGAAUCAAAUCCAGAUGGUUUCCUCC
rnacentral:lncRNA from 1 species